CGUCCCGUCCCGCCUGACGCCCCUCGGGCCUUCGCCCCCUCUCUCCCUCCCUCAGCGGGGGAGAGCGGGGCGGUGGUCCCGGUGCGUGUAGGGCAGGGUGGUUGCUACCUCCAUAAAAUGCACCUGCCCCCUAGCGCAGUUCCCUCCCUCCCCCCACAUGUGUUACUACAGCGUUACUCCGUAAAGCCCCACUUACCCUAAUUUAAUCGUCUCCCCCCUCCGUCCCGCUUCCUUGUACCUUGUCAAUGGCCACCGUUAACCCCCCGGCCUUCACAGCUCUUCCCAAGCUGACGGAGGGGUGAGAGAAGAGUGACUGUAAAGCCUGACGCACCCAUCUGCUUGCGUGCGCUUGGCGGGUCUCCAUCAAAGUAGGUUACCUCAUAAAUGCACUGACUCGGCUGGAUUUUCACCCUAAGUGGAGUCACGGAUGGCUUACCUGAGUAACGGGGAUGAGCAGCGAAGAGCAGGGAUGAGUAAUGGUGGUUGGCUUGUGGGGCUUCUCCCGGCGCACCCAGGGCUGGCUGCUGCCACGGCGUCUUGGAGAUCACCUGGACCUCUCUGCUGCUCCUGUUUCUUACCCUGAACCAAAGCCAUGAUGAGUUUUGGAUCCAACCCUGAAUUCUUCCCCUGAGGCCCAUCUUUGCUUUGUACGAAUGACAGAAAAAUUGUAUAUUUCUAGUUUUUAUUACCAGAGAAAGCAUACCUCUUACUGGCAUACACAGAACUGCAUGUAAAUGACCACUGAGUAGGUGUCACUUAAAUCUUAGCAGAUAUACAACAGAGCUCUGACACUGUAAUGCUGACCUUUACCAAAUGAUCCUAUCGUUUUGGUGACCAACACCCUAAUGACUCUGCUGUACUGGAAUUUGUAGCACAGCCCAGAUAAGGCCUGGAUCAUUUCUUUAUGAACAAGCAGCAUAUUCCUUCUAAAAAGUAUUGUUAUCUGACAGUUUCUUCUGCAAAUUUCACUGCAGCUGACUAUUAUUUUUCUUAAGUGCUGCUACUUAAAAGUAACCUAUAAAAAUUAGGGAAUAAAUAAUAGAGAUUUUAAACAAAUUUAAUAAUAAACAAGCUAUUCCACCGGUAUGUGUGCUACAUGGUGAAAUUAUACUGCUAGACUUAAAUGAAAUAUAUGGUUUGUAUUUAGAACUCUUAAAUGUUCCGUAAAGUUUAAGUCGUCUUAAAUUUUCAAUACGGCAGAAUGGAGAUUUGUUAAAAUAAUUGCCUCAUGUCGGUAUAGAUUCCAAACCUUUUUAUUACAAAUUCCUUUCAAAAAUCUUUCGAUGGGCAAGACAGUCUAUAUGCUGGAAUAUAGACAAUACAAGACCACAAUAAUGGCAGUAGUUUUGUCUUUGUGUGGAAUAGAAGAGAUAUGUUGAUCCACAUUGAUUUGCGUGCUCUUCUUGUAAAAGACUUCUCUGCCCUUUUGCACAUAAAGUUGUUUCUUAUAUGCUCUAUAUAGCUAAAAUUCCAAAGGAAUUAAAUUUACUAUUAAUUGCACACACAAAACAUGUAAAAUUGAGUGCAAAUUUUGCAACCAAGUACACAAAAUGAAAGCUGGUUCUUUUCUGUUUAAUUAUAUUACUUAAGUAUCCACGUCUCUUUGUCAAAAGUUAAUUAAUUGCUCUCUUGAUUUGCAGUAGGUUAUGUUCCUGGGUACUAAUUCUUCUCGUAAACCAGUGAUGAGGAAUAUCCCCUAAUACACCGUACUCCUCUGGUGACCUUGUGUUGCUUCCUCUAAAAUGAGGAAAAAAAUCCUAAGAAUGUCAAUAGAAGCAAGAUCACCACCCAUUUUGGCAAAGCCAAGUCUUGCUCAGGAGCAUGCCACACAAAGAAAAUGUUUCUGAAGCAAUUAUGUGCUUUACACUUUUGUGUAGGAAAACCCAAGGCCUGAGUUAGUGCCGGGAUUCCUCUUUCUAUAUCAUAAGGAUCCAGCCCAAACCACGACAUGUUAGUUAGGAUUCUAUCAGAGUAAUGUAAGGUUGAUGCUUUUAGACUGACAUGCAUAGGUUGGUUGGGGAAAAUGUAACUAUUUUUUUCUGUGUUUUAUAAGCAUGCACCUUUUCCUGGGUGGCAAUUACCUCAUCCUUACUCAGACACCUGAAGUUUGAAAUCAAUGUGGAAAGCUUUUCCACACUGCUUUUCCAUGUUGCCCUACCACGUUCAUCUUCUUUUCCUAAGUCAGUACCCUGUAACUGGCAGAAGGGC